rnacentral:rRNA from 1 species
GAUUAACGCUGGCGGCGUGCAUAACACAUGCAAGUCGAACGAAGUGGCGGACGGGUGAGUAACGCGUGAGUAACCUGCCUUAGAGAUGGGGAUAGCCUCUGGAAACGGAGAAUAAUAACCAAUGCUCGAAGAUGGAUUUGCGUCUGAUUAGCUAGUUGGUGAGAUAAUGGCUCACCAAGGCAACGAUCAGUAGCCGGCUGUAGUGUGUGUACUGCCACAUUGUGACUGAGACACGGCCCAGACUCUACUGGAGGUAGCAGUGGGGAAUUUUGCACAAUAGGGGAAACCCUGAUGCAGCGACUCCGCGUGAUUUAGAAUGCCUUCGGGUUGUAAAAAUCUUUUGUAUAGGAAGCAGUACUAUACUAAUAAGGACCGGCUAAUUACGUGCCAGCAGCCGCGGUAAUAC